GCGACAUUCCUGGCUCGGCUUUUUGGAGUAGAAGAUACAAACGAAAAUAGAAAAUUGAUCUAUAUGUCGUUCCUAAAACUUAUGCUUCAAUUCUGCAAACACUACUAAGUUUUUUCAGCUUGC